CCUACGGGAGGCAGCAGUAAGGAAUAUUGGUCAAUGGAGGCAACUCUGAACCAGCCAUGCCGCGUGCAGGGUGACUGCCCUAUGGGUUGUAAACUGCUUUUGUACGGGAAUAACCCCUACUAUGUAUAGUAGGCUGAAUGUACCGUAAGAAUAAGGAUCGGCUAACUCCGUGCCAGCAGCCGCGGUAAU
rnacentral:rRNA from 1 species